UACGUAGGGUGCAAGCGUUGUCCGGAAUUAUUGGGCGUAAAGAGCUCGUAGGCGGUUUGUCGCGUCGGCUGUGAAAGCCCGGAGCUCAACUCCGGGUCUGCAGUCGAUACGGGCAGACUUGAGUGUUGCAGGGGAGACUGGAAUUCCUGGUGUAGCGGUGGAAUGCGCAGAUAUCAGGAGGAACACCGGUGGCGAAGGCGGGUCUCUGGGCAGUAACUGACGCUGAGGAGCGAAAGCGUGGGGAGCGAACAGG
rnacentral:rRNA from 1 species